rnacentral:rRNA from 1 species
UACGAAGGGGACUAGCGUUGCUCGGAAUCACUGGGCGUAAAGCGCACGUAGGCGGAUUUGUAAGUCAGGGGUGAAAUCCCGGGGCUCAACCUCGGAACUGCCUUUGAUACUGCGAAUCUUGAGUCCGAUAGAGGUGGGUGGAAUUCCUAGUGUAGAGGUGAAAUUCGUAGAUAUUAGGAAGAACACCAGUGGCGAAGGCGGCUCACUGGUCCGGUACUGACGCUGAGGUGCGAAAGCGUGGGGAGCAAACAGG